rnacentral:rRNA from 1 species
GAUCAUGGCUCAGGAUGAACGCUAGCUACAGGCUUAACACAUGCAAGUCGAGGGGCAGCGGGAAGUCAGCUUACUAAGUUUGAUGGCGACCGGCGCACGGGUGAGUAACACGUAUCCAACCUGCCGAUGACUCGGGGAUAGCCUUUCGAAAGAAAGAUUAAUACCCGAUGGCAUAGUUCUUCCGCAUGGUGGAACUAUUAAAGAAUUUCGGUCAUCGAUGGGGAUGCGUUCCAUUAGGUUG